UGUGUGUGCAGGAGAGGAGUCGAGCAGAGAGAGCUGCUUUUUCAUGAAACGGGAGUAAAGUAGUGAACUUACAGGAACAUAUACCACUGCCAACGUUGGGAUUAAUUUCUGCAUCGAUCUGCACACCCUUGUGUCCUGGAUCGUAGCCGAGAUCAGCGUGAACCACGUGGGUCUCUGCUCCCUGAUCUGUUUCUUAAGACUUCCAGCUUCAUCACGGAGUUUCUCUCGGUUUGUGGGCUCAUAUAAAGGUGAUUAACAGGAGGAGAAGAGUCUGGUGGUGCAACGGAGGAACAAUUUCAUCCAUUUGGACUCAGCUCAGCCACUACAGAGGAAACAAUCAAUGACUUCAACACAAAAGGACCAACAUGGAGCGAGAAGUCAGCGCUCUCAGGAGGCUGACAAACCUCACAGAAGAAAGGGAGAGAAAACCUACAGCUGUGAUGAGUGUGGGAAGUAUUUUACCCGGGCUGGAGACUUAAAAACUCACCAACUCUUCCACAGUGGAGUUAAAGCGUACAGCUGUGACUUGUGUGGAAAGUAUUUUACCCGGGCAGGAUACUUAAAAACUCACCAACUCUUCCACAGUGGAGUUAAAGCGUACAGCUGUGACUUGUGUGGAAAGUCUUUUACCCGGGCAGGAGACUUAAAAA